UUGCUGUAUUGGCCCUGACAGGAUUGUGGGGAAAAACAUGCAACAAACCCCAUGGAUCAUGGAAACAAACACAUACAAUCCUUCAUGAAUGGCUAAAUACUGCGUGCUGUGGGUCCAUGGACGCGGACUCACCCAGUCAUUAACAUAGGAUCUCACAGCUUGGAAGUGGCAGGUCUGUGUCUUGCCUUCAGAAAGCACACGCAGUCAUGAAUUAUUAAGAAGCAGGUUCUUCUCAUAAGAUAAGAAAACUCAGCUAUGAAUAAUAAUGAGAAACCGACGCGUCAUCUUUGCACUUGCAGUUGUGCUCUACGUCACCAAUUUUGAUCUUGCCCGAAAAAUUAUUUUAAACCUGGAAGAUGAAAUCAGCUGACAAAAGCUCAAAUUUAUCCAGUUUUCCCCACAACUAAGUGGGGACACAAGUCUUUUUCUGUCCACCUUAGUGUCUUUGUUUCCUUAUCAGCACCUCUAUAUAUUUAACAUGUUGCUCCACUGAUUUUGAGAUGAUUUACAAAUGUACGAUCAGCUGCUGCUUUGGCUCAAUUCAGUUCAUCUGACCACCAUUCAAAUGAAUGUCAGAAAAGCAAGUUAUUAAACCAGCUCAUACAUGAUUAAUAGCGGCUUUCUACAGUAAUUUGUUGCAAUAUGAACUGUUCCAGAGUCGGCCCCACACAUAGACCAACUUUAUUCUACAUUCUUCCUCCAAACCACAAGCAUGGCAAAGUUGUAUCAGCCUAUGUACUAUGUCCUGUGCCAUUUGAAUCACAUCUAAAUUAAUUAAAUCUGGUAUGCAUAAGCAAUUUUUUAUUGCCAUACGUGGUCCACAUUUUUUUAUAUCACACAUGCACACCUGCAUACCAGUUCUGUGCACCCCUGCUUAUAUAUGUUUUAGUUAAUCUCUAUUAGACUACUGUAAUGCUCAUUUGUUUGUCUUAACUAGACUUCACUUAUUUGCAAUAAGCGAAAAAUACUGGAGGUCUUCUUUAACCCCCAACAUAAACGAAAAUAUAUUGGCUUCCAGUCCAUUUUUGAAUUAUUUUUAACAUUUUAGACCUUGCUUAUGAAUUCUUAAAUGGUCUAGCCCAAACCUGCCUUUCUGAUUUUAUUCAACUGCAGGAUUUAUCUAGGUCUCUGAGGUCUGCUGACCUUCUGCUACUGGCGGUUCCCACAGUGCUGAAGCAGAGGGAAGAUUGUGUCUUUGCAGAAGCUGUAACUUACUCUGAAUUCUUUACCAUCUUGGAUGAUAAGAGAGCGAGCCUUGUGCAGUGCCACUUAAUGAGAUCCAUGACCUGUGAAAAGAUGAUGCCAACCAUCGAAGACUUCGAGGACAACACACACACUGUCUCCAGUUUACAGUUUGGACUCUUCAUUCCAUCAGAGAGAAGCUUCACUCCUGAAUCCUGCAGGUCAUUGUUACUCAGCUCCAGCUCUCUCAGGACACAGUUUGAGGAUUGUAGAGCUGAAGACAAACUCUGACAAGACUUAGCAUCCCUUUAUUAAUCUGGGGUCACCACAGCGGAAUGAACCACCAACUUAUCCAGCAUAUGUUUUUAUGCAGCGGAUGCCCUGCCAGCUGCAACCCUUCACUGGGAAACAUCCAUACACACU